GACGAACGCUGGCGGCGUGCUUAACACAUGCCAGUCGAACGGAAAGGCCCUGCUUUUGUGGGGUGCUCGAGUGGCGAACGGGUGAGUAACACGUGAGUAACCUGCCCUUGACUUUGGGAUAACUUCAGGAAACUGGGGCUAAUACCGGAUAGGAGCUCCUGCUGCAUGGUGGGGGUUGGAAAGUUUCGGCGGUUGGGGAUGGACUCGCGGCUUAUCAGCUUGUUGGUGGGGUAGUGGCUUACCAAGGCUUUGACGGGUAGCCGGCCUGAGAGGGUGACCGGCCCGGUAGGGAGGGGGAGCGGGACCGGAGGGGGCGGGGGGGGGGGAGGGGAGAAUGGCGGAGAGGGGGAGGACGGGGGAGGAAGCAGGGGGGGGUGGGGGGUGGGGGCCUGUGGGUUGUCAGCCGCUUGGGCCUGGGGGGAGGCGGGGUGGAGGGUAAGGGAGGGAGAAGCACCGGAUGAAGAGGUGGGAGCAGCCGCUGAAUAGUCGAAGCACCCACGUCUGAAC
rnacentral:rRNA from 1 species